UACGUAGGUGGCAAGCGUUGUCCGGAAUCAUUGGGCGUAAAGAGCGCGUAGGCGGCCCGAUAAGUCCGCUGUGAAAGUCAAGGGCUCAACCCUUGAAUGCCGGUGGAUACUGUCGGGCUAGAGUCCGGAAGAGGCGAGUGGAAUUCCCGGUGUAGCGGUGAAAUGCGCAGAUAUCGGGAGGAACACCGGUGGCGAAGGCGGUUCUCUGGGCCUUACCUGACGCUGAGGAGCGAAAGCGUGGGGAGCGAACAGG
rnacentral:rRNA from 1 species